ensembl:lncRNA
GAUCUAUGGGUUAUCUGUGGGGCUGGGGAGAGGAAUCUAUGGGUUACUGGUCAUCUAUCGGCCUGGGGGUCCUAUUGGGGUUCGGGGCUGAGUGAUCUAUGGGGUUAUCUGUGGGGCUGGGGGAGGAUCUAUGGGGUUAUCUGUGGGGCUGGGGGAGGAUCUAUGGGGUUAUCUGUGGGGCUGGGGGAGGAUCUAUGGGGUUAUGGCCAUCUAUGGACCCAUGUGCCCCCCAUGACCACAUACAGCCCCAUCCAUGGGCUGCAAAGACCCCCAUCCCCACCCUGAGGGGUCUCUGUGCCCACCAGGACAACCCCAUAUACACACAGCCCCAUGUAUGGGCCGCAAAGACCCCCAUCCCCAUCCUUAGGGGUCUCUGUGCCCCAUAACCACACACAGCCCCAUCUAUGGGCCACAAAGACCCCCAUCCCCAUCCUGAGGGGUCUCUGUGCCCCAUAAGCACACACAGCCCCAUCCAUGGGCUGCAAAGACCCCCCCAUCCCCACCCUGAGGGGUCUCUGUGCCCACCAGGACAACCCCAUACACACACAGCCCCCACUAUAACCCACCAAUACAACCCCACGACCUCCUCCAUCCAUCACCCUCCCCCAUAACCCCCCAAAUACCCCCCAAAAUCCCCCAUAAUGACCCCAAAACCCCCCAUAACCCCCCCAUAGGACCCCAUAGGACCCCACAGGAUCCCAUAUUACCCCAAACUGACCCAAAAUCCCCAUAUUUCAGCCCAAAAUCACCUAUGAUCCUCUCCCCCUUGGUCAGGUUGAGCUCCCCAAAACCCCCCAUAAUGACCCCAAAAUCCCCCCCAAAAUUGCCCCAAAUGACCCCAGAUCCCCCCAUAACCCCCUCAUAUGACCCCAUAGGACCCCAUAGGAUCCCAUAGAACCCCAAACUGACCCAAAAUCCCCAUAUUUCAGCCCAAAAUCACCUUUGAUCCUCUCCCCCUUGGUCAGGCUGAGCUCCCCCAAACCGCCCCUUAAACCCCUCCAAAACGACCCCAAAUCACCCCAAAUCACCCCAAAACCCCCCCAGGCCCCCUCAUAGGACCCCAUAUUACCCCAUAAUGACCCAAAAUGACCCAAAAUCACCGUAUUUCAGCCCAAAAUCACCUUUGAUCCUCUCCCCCUUGGUCAGGCUGAGCUCUCCGUCCCCCUGUGCCUGGUACGGUCUGACCGCCAGGAACGAGCGACCCGGAACCGCCGAGUACAACUUGCGCUUCACCCCGCGACCGCCAGGGGGCGCCGAUGAGC